rnacentral:rRNA from 1 species
AUGGAAACACAUCGUGCGUACUGCCUACCUUGUUUUCUGUUCACAAAAAGGCCAAGUGGAAGGUGUGGCUCUGAUGCAUUCACGGUCAAGGGAUUUAAUAAUUGGAAGAAGGUGAAUGAUGGAAACGAAUGUGCUUUCUUAACUCACAUGGGCAAAGAUUCCAACUCCGCUCAUAACUUUUCUCAGCGGUGUCAUGAUAAUCUGAAAAAUAGUUUGACUCACAUCGACAAGGCAAUGGUGAAAGUGUGUGCAAAAAAGGUCGCAGAUGCAAGGCUAAGGCUUAAAGUUACAAUUGAUUGCAUCAAGUAA